GAUGAACGCUAGCGGCAGGCUUAAUACAUGCAAGUCGAGGGGCAGCAGGGGUAGCAAUACUCGCUGGCGACCGGCAAACGGGUGCGGAACACGUACGCAACCUUCCUUUAACUGGAGAAUAGCCCCGAGAAAUCGGGAUUAAUACUCCGUAACAAUAUGGUGUGGCAUCACACUGUAUUUAUAGCUCCGGCGGUUAAAGAUGGGCGUGCGCCUGAUUAGAUAGUUGGCGGGGUAACGGGCCCACCAAGUCUGCGAUCAGUAACUGGUGUGAGAGCACGACCAGUCACACGGGC
rnacentral:rRNA from 1 species